rnacentral:rRNA from 1 species
CCUACUGGAGUCAGCAGUGGGGAAUAUUGCACAAUGGGGGAAACCCUGAUGCAGCAACGCCGCGUUAGUGAAGACGUAUUUCGGUAUGUAAAGCUCUAUCAGCAGGGAAGAAGAUGACGGUACCUGAAUAAGAAGCCCCGGCUAACUACGUGCCAUCAGCCGCGGUAAUACGUAGGGGGCCAGCGUUAUCCGGAUUUACUGGGUGUAAAGGGGGCGCAGACGGCAUUGCAAGUCUGGAGUGAAAUCCCGUGGCUCAACCCCGGAACUGCGCUGGAAACUGUGCGGCUUGAGUACUGGAGGGGCAGGCGGAAUUCCUAGUGUAGCGGUGAAAUGCGUAGAUAUUAGGAGGAACACCAGUGGCGAAGGCGGCCUGCUGGACAGUAACUGACGUUGAGGCUCGAAAGCGUGGGGAGCAAACAGGAUUAGAUACCCCAGUAGUC